AUUGAACGCUGGCGGCAGGCUUAACACAUGCAAGUCGAGCGAGAGGCGGACGGGUGAGUAAUGUCUGGGAAACUGCCUGAUGGAGGGGGAUAACUACUGGAAAAGGUAGAUAAUACAGCAUACCCUCAGAUGUUCCCAGAUGGGAUUAGCUAGUAGGUGGGGUAAUGGCUAACCAAGGCGACGAUCCCUAGCUGGUAUGAGAGGAUGACCGGCCACACUGGAACUGAGACACGGGCCAGACUCCGACGUGAGGCAGCAGUGGGGAAUAUUGCACAAUGGGCGCAAGCCGGAUGCAGCAAUGCCGCGUGUGUGAAGAAGGCCUUCGGGUCGUAAAGCACUUUCAGCGGGGAGGCGUUACUCGAAGAAGAAGAACCGGCUAACUCCGUGCCAGCAGCCGCGGUAAUUC
rnacentral:rRNA from 1 species